CCUACGGGAGACAGCAGUAGGGAAUCUUCCACAAUGGGCGAAAGCCUGAUGGAGCAACGCCGCGUGGGUUAAGAAGGUCUUCUGAUCGUAAAACCCUGUUGUUCGAGAAGAAAGUGCGUGAGAGUAACUGUUCACGUUUCGACGGUAUCUAACCAGAAAGCCACGGCUAACUACGUACCAGCAGCCGCGGUAAUACGUAGGUGGCAAGCGUUAUCCGGAUUUAUUGGGCGUAAAGGGGACGCAGGCGGUCUUUUAAGUUUGAUGUUAAAGCCUUCGGCUUAACCGGAGUAGUGCAUUGGAAACUGGGAGACUUGAGUGCAGAAGAGGAGAGUGGAACUCCAUGUGUAGCGGUGAAAUGCGUAGAUAUAUGGAAGAACACCAGUGGCGAAAGCGGCUCUCUGGUCUGUAACUGACGCUGAGGUUCGAAAGCGUGGGUAGCAAACAGGAUUAGAUACCCGAGUAGUC
rnacentral:rRNA from 1 species